AGAAUGAACGUUGGCGGCGUGGAUUAGGCAUGCAAGUCGAGCGCGAAUCCCCGCAAGGGGAGGAAAGCGGCGAAAGGGAGAGUAAUACGUAGGUACCUGCCCUCGGGUCUGGGAUAGCUGCGGGAAACUGCAAUUAAUACCAGAUGACGUCUGAGGACCAAAGGUGUGAUUCCGCCAGGGGAUGGGCCUGCGUCCUAUCAGCUAGUUGGUGUGGUAAAAGCGCACCAAGGCUAAGACGGGUACGGGGUGUGAGAGCAUGCCCCCGCUCACUGGGACUGAGACACUGCCCAGACACCUACGGGUGGCUGCAGUCGAGAAUCUUCCGCAAUGGGCGAAAAGCCUGACGGAGCGACGCCGCGUGUGGGAUGAAGGCCUUGGUUGUAAACCACUGUCAGUGGGAGCAAAUGGCUAGGGGUUCUCCCCUAGUCUUGAGCGAUCCGCAGAGGAAGCACAGGCUAAUUCCGUGCCAGCAGCCGCGGUAA
rnacentral:rRNA from 1 species